UGAUUUCUUGGGAGUUGUUGCUGCUGUUAUGGUUGGAUUGGCAGUUGUCUUUGCCCUGAUCUUUGCCGUGUCAAUCAAGUCUUUCAACUUCCAGAGAAGAUGAGAGAAGGAAUCAAGGAAACACCCAACAAAGAAAAGAUAUCAAACUAUUUCUUACGAUUCAUGUAGUACGUAGUUAUGACGGUUCCAAACAAUUUUUAAUUUUGAUUCAUUGUAAACGUAUUUGAGUGCGUAUCAAGUCAUUGUGAAUUGCAUUGCAUGGAACUGAUCGUCCUAAGGUAACAAAGUUUCACCUCGUACAAGGAGACUAAUUAGCAUUAGCAGUUUCAUAUGUUUAGAUCUUUUCCUUAUUUCGAUGAAUAUCAGAUUUUAAUCCACCGUAAUCGAAACAGUCGAAGCCACUGUUAUUUACCAACUAAACUAGCAUCUGCAAAAUUCAUUACAACUAUCUGAUAUACAAAUUAUAAAAUGCAUCAAGAUACC
rnacentral:lncRNA from 1 species